rnacentral:lncRNA from 1 species
UCAGGCGCUAUUCCCUGACAGAAGUCAGCUUGCACCGAGAAAGAAACAAUCCAUCCUGAUGAGGAGUAAAUCCUGCACUGAAAGACUGCUGCCCAGAAGGCAUGAGCUGACAUUGAUUUGAAUCCACCAGCUCUCCCAGUGGAUCAGAUGGCAUCUCAGCACUGGAAUCAGUAUUGCUAUCACAUACUCAUCUGUCGCCUCAUGGGACAAGAGCUGCAAGAAAUAUGAAGGGAAAUUGCUCCUGUUAAGGGAUAGCUACACUUAUUUCUGUUACAAAAAAGCCACCACCUAUAAUGUACAUGUUAAAAUGAUGCCUAACUAUGUAAAAGGAAUCUAUCCUUUCUGCCCAAAUGUUAAUAAGCUCAACAAAAUAAUGCAUUAUUUCUGCUUCCCAGCCCUGUUCAUAGCCUUUCCUGGGGUUGAGCUAACCAAGUGAUUGUCAAGGCUGCGUGAAAGUGAUUUGUUCUCUUAGAAACUCACACUCAGUGAUAAUUCAGAGACACUGCCACUUUUUGUGCCUAUUUCCAUCCUUGUGAGCUUACUCACCAAAGCAAGGAUCCUUGCAUUUUUAUUUAUUCUCCAAUUUCCAGGAGAGUUCUGUAAUUUGAAAGACUGCAACCAUUUUGGAGAAAGCAAUUUCAAAUUUGAACUCAUUUUCUAAGCCAAAAAUACGCUGGCUUUGCUUAAUGGAAAGCAGUGCCAUCCUCCUAAGAGUUCAUUAGCCCUCUGCACUUUUGUUUCUUCACAUGAACAGCAGGACAUUGACUUCCAGUAAAUGUUUGUGAAGCUCAGUGAUGCAAAACAGCCUGACUUAAGUCUGGACUCACAGAAAAAGCACGGCCCUCAACCCCAAAUCACACACAUAUCUACUUCCUCCAUCCAUUCAUCCAUUAAUCCAUCUAUCCAUCCAACAAAUAUUUAUUGAAUACCUGUUAUGUACAGCAUCUUCUGUCAUAGAGCUUACCAGGUAGAAGGGAGGUGGGAUUAUUCAUAUGAAGCACACGAGGACCAUAGUCCAUGUUACCCUAAAAACACUGUGAUUUGGUGAUAAUCACGGUUGCUGUUUUUAAAAGGCUUACUUUAAUCCUAAGCUUUGUGCAUACAUUCUAUGCCAUGAAAAUGCUCACAAACAACAUCUUCAGUUUAAGACUAUAAAAUAUAUUUACAAAAGCAAAGAUGACACUUGGCCUUUAAGAUAUACACUGUCAAACAUCCUUAAACAGAAAAGUAUUAUAACAGAAGAAUUCAUAAAUACAUUUAAUAAUACAAAAUAUAGUAUUACUAAAUAUAGUCAUGGAAGCAUAAAGAAAGAUGAUUGCAUGAUAAACUGUUGACCAAGUAUUUUAUUCAGAAAAUAGUAAAACACAUUCUUGUGGGUCUCAGACCAUAAAAAAAGAUGGCAUUAAAUGCAAAGCUUGUUUAGUACAAAAUAAAUUCAAUCGUCACAGUAGCAAGCGCCCUUGGGGAAUAACAGGUCAUUAGAAGCUUUUAAGAUUCUCAUAACAUAUGACAUUCCCUCAGGUCCCUUUCAAUCCCAACUCGGCCCUAAUCAUUUUCUUUCUUUGGCUACUUUUUUAUAAAGUCAGUAGGCUGCAGUAUAAUAUAUCUUGACAUCAUAACCUAAAAUAUCAGAUCGGCUCAAUUGUUAUGCAAGUAAUGUUGCUCUGCAAAUGACUGCUGGGAGAUGAGACGCUACCAAAUGAAGAGGAAAAUGCAUGCCACGUCCACUCCCCGCUGUCUGUGGCUUAAUCUGAAAUAACAUCUGUGAAGGAACGAACAUGCGACACUCUGAUCCAACAAUGCAUCUGAUGUGCACAAGUAUCUGUAAUGAAAUUUCUAGUACAAGGGAAUCAGGACAUAGAAGCUUCUGCCUCCACCAUACUGUCACCACCCCAACUCUGCCCAACUCCCUCAGAAAAGGGAGCCUGGGAAGUCAGCUCCUUGCUGAAAGCAGCAUUUCACAUGGUUCACCCACAUUAGGAUUCCAACAUCAGGAAAAUUUGUCUCCCGUGGCGCAAAAUUAUUUAAACCUGCCAUGGCCUCGAGAAGUCUGCUAACAAAACAUUCAUCUCUGUGCAACCUCC